AGAAUUGACGGGACCGCACAAGCAGCGGAGCGUGUGGUUAAUUCGACGCAACGCGAAGAACCUUACCAGGGCUUGACAUCCCCUGACCGCGUAUGAAAGUACGUUUUCACCCUCGGGUGACAGGGAGACAGGUGGUGCAUGGUUGUCGUCAGCUCGUGUCGUGAGAUGUUGGGUUAAGUCCCGCAACGAGCGCAACCCCUACGUUUAGUUGCUAACAGGUGAAGCUGAGCACUCUAGACGAACUGCCGUUGACAAAACGGAGGAAGGUGGGAUGACGUCAAAUCAUCAUGCCCCUUAUGUUCUGGGCUACACACGUGCUACAAUGGCCGGUACAGACGGAGGCGAAGCCGCGAGGCGGAGCAAAUCCGAAAAAGCCGGUCUCAGUUCGGAUUGCAGGCUGCAAUUCGCCUGCAUGAAGUCGGAAUCGCUAGUAAUCGCAGGUCAGCAUACUGCGGUGAAUACGUUCCCGGGCCUU
rnacentral:rRNA from 1 species